rnacentral:rRNA from 1 species
UACGAAGGGGGCUAGCGUUGCUCGGAAUCACUGGGCGUAAAGCGCACGUAGGCGGCUUGUUAAGUCAGGGGUGAAAUCCUGGAGCUCAACUCCAGAACUGCCUUUGAUACUGGCGAGCUUGAGUCCGGGAGAGGUGAGUGGAACUGCGAGUGUAGAGGUGAAAUUCGUAGAUAUUCGCAAGAACACCAGUGGCGAAGGCGGCUCACUGGCCCGGUACUGACGCUGAGGCUCGAAAGCGUGGGGAGCAAACAGG